GACGAACGCUGGCGGCGUGCUUAACACAUGCAAGUCGAACGGAAAGGCCUGCUUUCCCUUGUGGAUUGCGGGUACUCGAGUGGCGAACGGGUGAGUAACACGUGAGUGAUCUGCCCCCAACUUGGGUAUAAGCCUGGGAAACUGGGUCUAAUUCCCGAUAGGACUGCAGGGUGGUGCCUGUGGUGGAAAACGAUUUUCUAGUGGUUGGGGAUGAGCUCGCGGCCUAUCAGCUUGUUGGUGGGGUAAUGGCCUACCAAGGCGGCGACGGGUAGCCGGCCUGAGAGAGUGGACGGCCACAUUGGGACUGAGAUACGGCCCAGACUCCUACGGGAGGCAGCAGUGGGGAAUAUUGCACAAUGGGCGGAAGCCUGAUGCAGCGACGCCGCGUGGGGGAUGACGGCCUUCGGGUUGUAAACUCCUUUCGACCGCGAGGAAGCCACCUGGUUGGAAGGGUGGUGACGGUAGUGGUAGAAGAAGCACCGGCUAACUACGUG
rnacentral:rRNA from 1 species